GCCUGGGUGGCUCAGUCGGCUGAGUGUCUGACUUUGGCUCAGUUCAUGAUUUCACGGUUUGUGGGUUCGAGCCCCGCGUCGGGCU
rfam:Felis catus isolate Cinnamon breed Abyssinian chromosome D2, whole genome shotgun sequence.